AGCAGCCGCGGUAAUUCCAGCUCCAAUAGCGUAUAUUAAAGUUGUUGCAGUUAAAAAGCUCGUAGUUGAAUUUCGGGAUCAAGGAAUCGGUCAUGCCUCGGUAUGUACUGGUUUUAUUGGUUCUCACCUUCUAAAGAACCAUAAUGUCAUUCAUUUGAUGUUAUGGGGAAUUAGGACUGUUACCUUGAAAAAAUUAGAGUGUUUAAAGCAGGCUUACGCUUGAAUACAUUAGCAUGGAAUAAUGAAAUAGGACAUCAGAUUCUAUUUUGUUGGUUUCUAGGAUCGAUGUAAUGAUUAAUAGGGAUAGUUGGGGGCAUUAGUAUUCAAUUGUCAGAGGUGAAAUUCUUGGAUUUAUUGAAGACUAACUACUGCGAAAGCAUUUGCCAAGGAUGUUUUCAUUAAUCAAGAACGAAAGUUAGGGGAUCGAAGACGAUCAGAUACCGUCGUAGU
rnacentral:rRNA from 1 species